UCGUCUUUGAAGUGUGCGCUGCAUCGUCGCCCCUUUUUUUCUCCUCAGUUGUGGGCCACGAGUAGCGUUACGCUCAACCACAAAGACAGCUGCAUCGGCUCCUACCCACACGCCUCUUCCGCACAGCCCUCACACACGCACACGGGACCGGCUGGAGCAGCGUGAUAGGAGUGCGCAUCAGAGCGCGUCUGCGUGUAUACGUCGGUCUCCGUAUUUUUCCCCUACCUGAGCAGCCGUGCGCGUCGGCCUGACCUCGAACCCGCCUCCUCACUCCACGUUGAAAGCACCGACGCUGUAAUGUUGUCCAAGAAGAAGGCGGCCAAGCGGGCAGCCAUCAGCGCCACUGUGCGCAGGGAACACCAGGCGCAUGAGAAGCUAAGUCAGCAGAACACGCAGCUUCACACGUCGCGCAAGAAGGCUGCGGAGGCAUCAACGUCCUCAAGAGGCGCGGACGACUUUGUCGAUCCCAAGAAGAGUCGCACAGUCCUGAACAGCGCCGAUGCAGCGGAGGCGGUGGGCAGCGGCAACGGCAACCGGGCGGCCAUGAUCCGCAGCCUCGGGGACCACAUAAACACGCGCCUGCAGGAAGUGACGUUCGAGGACGAUCUCGACGGUGACGUCUUUCACGAGCGCCGGGCGCAGUUGAUGGAGGAGGCGCGGCUGGCGGCCGGCGUCAAGCAGCGCGACAUGUCCACCUCCGUGCGACACUACCUCGGCCACCAAGCGGAGACGCACGACCUGCACUCUGUGCGGAUUGCCCACAACUGCAACUCCAUUACGUGUGUGGCGGCCCUCGGUACAGACCGCAUCGUGUAUGGUGACAAGUCCGGAAAGGUGUAUCUUGUAGACAUAUCCCUCGCGACCAGCGGGGCCGGCAUGUCAGUCUCUGACAAGGCGGAGCUGCAGCGGCGGCGCAAAGUGCUUCUAGAGCCGGUACUGCCAUCCGGCAUCGUCUCGAUAGCCGUCAGUGACACGACAGCGAACCGCCCCACGGCGCGCGAUGUCUUCGAAAAGACAACGGUGGACAUGUCGUGCCCGUCGUACGUGGCAGCUGGGGCCAUCGACGGGUCCAUCAGUGUGUGGGAGACUCUCACCAAGGCACACAAGGGACUUCUCUGCAUGCACCGUAAGCCGAUCACCGGGCUGCAGUUCCGCAUGGACACCGCCACCCUCUACUCCAGCUGCGAGGACGGCACGCUGCGGGUGUGGGCCGUGCCGCAGAUGAUCGCCGUCGACAAGCUUUUCGGUCAUGAAGGGCCCACCCAUUUCCUGGAUUGCCUGCGCAAGGAGACGGCGGCGACGGUUGGCGAGGACGGCACGAUGCGCUUCUGGAAGAUGGACGCGGCCACGCAGCAGGCGUACAACUACGCGCCGGCCCGGCUGCCGGAGAAGAGCUUCACCCCGGCCGCCGCCGCCGCCUCGCCGCCGCCGCCGCCUCCUAGCGUGGUUAUGGACACCGUGGCGAUGCUUAAUGAGAGCAUCAUCGUCGCGGGUGCGAGGGACGGCGCCGUCGUGGUCUUCGACGUGAACCGUUGCAAGCCCCUUGUCGUCGUUCCAGCAGCGCACGGCUACGGCUUCAUCGGCGACGGCACGGGGCUGGAAAAGGCAGCGGCGCAGCUCGCGGAGGAGGACGAUGGCGAUCGAGUGGCACGUGAGCACGCGACGGCGCCGUCGUUCGGCACUGUCGAUGCGCAGCGGCGUAAUCCGAAUCCCAUCACCACCGUGGCCGCCGUGCCAUAUGCCGAUGUAGUAGCUACCGGCAGCUACGACGGAGUGGUACGCGUGUGGCACGUUGUCGGCGUUGGCGCCGGGGCCACGGCGCCGGGGAAGCGCACAGAUGACGGCCGAAACGGCGACGCGGCACCCUCAUCCAGGAAGGGGACGGAGCCGCAACUGGUGCUAGUCGCAGAGCUGCCUGUUCGAGCCAUUGUCAACUCGCUUCGCUUCUGCAGCAACGGCGAUGUACUCCUCAUUGCCGCGGCGAAGGAGCCUCGGCGCGGUCGGUGGGUCGUGCAGUCGAGUGCGCGCAACGGCGUUUUGUUGGUGCCGCUCACCGAUUCAGGGCGCAAGAAACUACAGGGAGUGCGCGGGGAAGUGGAGCACAUCCCUGCGCAGCUCUUCGGCAUCGACGAUGCCGCCGCCGAAGAAGACGCCGCUGGAGAAGAGGAGGAAGAAGCGCACGUGAGCGAGGCAGACGCCUCGAAAGCGGAUCUCGACGCCAGCGGAGAGCUGCACGCGAGCGACGGAGAGGACGGCGCCGGUCGCGAUGAAGCAGAAGACGUCGCAGACAUGUUUGACGUUGGCCCAGACGGCAUGAUGCGCUUCAGAGAGGGCGUGUCCCUCGCUGGCGAGGCUGCGGUCACCUCGAAGAAGAGGAAAAAGGGGAAGAGCGGCAUGCCCAAAGUGCUUCGGCAGAGCAAGAAGCUUUCCGACGUGACCGUGGCGCGCGACUCCGGCAGCCACAAGAUGAAGAAGGCGCUGUCGGCAAAGAAGGCCAAGCGCGUCGAGGCUAAGAGCGAGAAGCUUCAUGCGUCCAACGCUGCUCUCGCAACGACCAAGAAGGCGAUGAAGCGGGCGAAGGCGUGAAGUGCAGGAGUGUCGCGUGUCUGCGUGCAUGCACUUUGUGUAGGCCUGUGCGCGCGCGCAUACUUGCGGGUCGGUGUUUGUAUGCGUCGGCGGGUGUGCGUGUGCGCAAGCGGGGGGAUGUGGGGGAGGAGAAGAGUGCGGUGACGUGCCCCCGCCCCGCCCUCUUUAUCUCUCUCUCUCAGCCGUGCUGUGUGUUUGUUUUUGGCUUUGGUUCCUCUCACUUGUUUCGCUAACUGUGAUGCCGUUAACGUGUCGAAUAAGUCCGAAGUGUUUUCUUGCGUUUUACGCCUACGCUUUCGUAUGCGUGUGCGCGUGGGCGUGGGUGGGCGCUCGCUCUCGCUUGUACGAAUCUGUCUGCGUCCGUGCUUGUCCGCGCUCCGUCGUUUCACGCGUGCAGACAACUCCCUCACUGAUAGACUCGCGCGUCAUCUUUGGAUGCCUCAGUCGAUCGUGAAUUUGUGCAUGCGCGUUUCUCGUUUCUCGUUCCAACUCAAAUCUGCAGCCCCACGCUGCACACGCAGAUGCCACGCACGCGUAAACGAACG
rnacentral:misc_RNA from 1 species